UAUUGAUUAUAUUACCAAGGCUUUGACUAGAAUGGCAUGCUUGGGAGAAACAUGCAUAGGCUCAGAUAUGACCAGACAGCUUUAAAGAACUAAGCUGGAUUUUAAAGAGCUAAUAAAGCCCCUGGGAAAUAUCAGUCUGAUACUUGCUUACAGAAUCCCCAGCAGCCUUACCAGCCCUCUUAUUUAAUAACUGAUUACUGGAACAAUAGGCCUAACUUUGAGAACAUACCUGCAUCAUCACUUCCUGAAAGAGUUUAAUUGAACUGAAUAUCAGGACUAAGACUGGUUCAACAAGAUGAAACCAUCUACCAACUCAAACUUUAAGGUGUGUGUUUCGCUCUGUGAUGAAGGACACCCAUAUCAAGAUCACAGCAUUAGUUAUUCUUUAUUGUGAAAUACAACAGGAUAACUCCUAAGCAUCUUGGACAUUUGCAAAUUUAAGAGAUAGACACAGGUGAAUGGAUCAGGCUUCUACAUUUUUGCUCUUCUUGUACUAUGUUCAGAAAGGAAUCUGGGAAUCCUUGAGAGUUGGAUAAAACUGGCACAAAAAAUGGAAAAAAAAAAAAAAAACACUGAAUGAAGUCUUUGGAAAAAAAACAAACCCUAUAAAUCGACUCAAAGUAAAACCUUUCUUAGGUCUGAAAAAAUCUCAGACAAGUUUAGAAGCAUUUUUAUGUACAGUGUCUUUAUCUUCCUGCUGACUUUCAGAAGUAGAAACAAAGACAGACAAAACCCACAAAAGACAAAAACACAAACAAAAUAAAACAAAAAACAACUCAACGCUAUGUUCUUAAAGGCACAAAUGGUAUAUAGGCUUUCGAAUUGAAACUGGCUCUUCAUGUGGCAAGAGAACAGUGUGGCCAAAGUGGAUAGUACAGCAGCCAGCAGCAUCUUUCCUGGUUAAUCAAUGUGAUGGACAGGUGGACACAGAUGGAUUUUCCUUGAAAGUUGUUCCAGCCAAACUGGUUUUCAUAGAAAGGGCUCUAUUUUAAUCUUUGUUCCAAUAUAACCACUAUAUAUUAGAUAUAAUCUAAACUGUUUUAUUUGUAAUUCAUAUUGCUUCUUUAAACUUUUAGUUGAGCUGAGAUUUUUUCUGUCCACCAGAUUAAAACUUAUCAGGUCCCAAAAUGUUUAUGUUCACCGUACAGUAAUGCAGUUACUAUAAGAGAUAAGACAGCGUUCGUGCAAAAUGCAAAAAUAAUCAGUGUAUGAUAUUAAUUAGCAUUUUGAGUUUUAAUCCAGAGUAAGGGGCCCAGGCCUGUAGAUAGUAGGUUCGGGCAUUUGGGGAGGAGAAAGAGAAGCUUAUCGGUAACGUUCCUGGGCUGGACUUGUCCAGCUGUAGUUUUGGACCAUGCCAAGGUUAAAGAGGGAGGAGGGAACAAGAGAAAUAAGGAAGGGAAAUUCUUUGCUGGCUGGUAUCUUCAUAAGCUGGUUUCUCACUCUGGCCCUGGUGGGUGUUUGUAGCUGAUACUUUCUUCUGUGGGUACUAUGAAGACCCUCUCAGUAGCCCUUUUUAGUGGCAGCUCUCACAGCACAUGAGAACAUCUCUCCUUCUGACCUCAGCCCUGGUGUGGAGAUAUCCCCAUCCUGGUUCUACACCAAGUCGUUUCAUGCUCCAGACCAGCUCUUUCCCCUACAGCCCACAUUUGGUCCAUGGGAAUCAAACAUUUCUUGGCUUUUACUAAUGGAAGUAUAGUUCCUUUGCAAAUAGAACCAUGUUGUCUCUUUGUUUUCCUGAACUAGGCCACUCUAAUUUUCUCAGUCCAUCGUAUCUCUCAAUUAUGGAGAGGAUUAGGUCCCUCUAGGGUCUCUGGCUGAAACCCUUACUCGUCAUUGAGAUCGUUAACUCCUCUCUUUUCCCCUUGGGGACUGGAGGUGAGGCUCAAGCCCAGCUUUUUCCAUAGAAACAUUCCCCCAAAUAUAUUUUUCAUUCUCUAAAUGCUUUGCCCCCCUUUUUAUAAUCUUGAUCUGAUUGAAUGGUCCAAGAAGCGUGGAACCAGUUUUUGUACAUUCUUUUUGUGCAUUCUACAUUUUGUCUGUCACCUAGCUUUGGUACACAUCACCUGUUGUAUUUUGUUGCAUGGACCAAAACCCCAGUUAACACUCUGUUACACUGACGUGAACUCCAAUGGUAGUCCCCUUGCUUAGAUCUUAGCCUAAGAUUGCCAGAGAAAAUGGAUAACCAUUUAAAUUUAGGUUUCAGAUAAAUGGUGAAUAAUUUCUUUGUGUGUGUAUGUCAAUUGCUAUUGGAGCUAUGUGUAAACUAAAAAAGUGUUCAUCUGAAAUUCAAAUGUAACUGGGCACCUGGAAUUUUAUUUGCAAAGUCUGGUAGCCUUCUCUUAGUUAAAACUGCUUAAAGCAACUUAAAUAGAUUUUGAUUAACAUUUUAUUAUCUGCAGGGCUGUAUAUAUGUACUUAUGUCUCUCAUGUCCAAUCUGGAUAAUUAGAUGUAACCUGUGCUGGAAGCCUCAAAUAACUGUCCAGCAAAUCUGUUUUGACUACAAUAUGGUUCUGUUUCUGUCCGUGUCGAGAUUUGACAUCUUCCUGGUGACAAAUCGGUCUUUCAGCUACACAUGUGUAAUUAAUCUUGAGGCUGAAGAUGGUUUCCCAUCAGCCAUGUUCAGGCCUAGCUCGGGGAGGGUUAUAAUAGGAUGAAAAGAAUUGUAGUACAGAGAAUAAGCUCUUUGUUCUGUUAUUAAACACUUCACUGCUUGUAGCUAACGAUUUAUUCUUCAACUCAUAAAUACUUGUUACUUGUAAUAUGUCUUGUAAGCACUUCAAAAUAUAUCCUAUUAAGGCUA